AGUGGGGAAUUUUGGACAAUGGGCGCAAGCCUGAUCCAGCAAUGCCGCGUGCAGGAUGAAGGCCUUCGGGUUGUAAACUGCUUUUGUACGGAGCGAAAAGGCUCCCUCUAAUACAGGGGGCUCAUGACGGUACCGUAAGAAUAAGCACCGGCUAACUACGUGCCAGCAGCCGCGGUAAUACGUAGGGUGCAAGCGUUAAUCGGAAUUACUGGGCGUAAAGCGUGCGCAGGCGGUUAUGUAAGACAGAUGUGAAAUCCCCGGGCUCAACCUGGGAACUGCAUUUGUGACUGCAUAGCUAGAGUACGGCAGAGGGGGAUGGAAUUCCGCGUGUAGCAGUGAAAUGCGUAGAUAUGCGGAGGAACACCGAUGGCGAAGGCAAUCCCCUGGGCCUGUACUGACGCUCAUGCACGAAAGCGUGGGGAGCAAACAGGAUUAGAUACCCUGGUAGUCCACGCCCUAAACGAUGUCAACUGGUUGUUGGGUCUUCACUGACUCAGUAACGAAGCUAACGCGUGAAGUUGACCGCCUGGGGAGUACGGCCGCAAGGUUG
rnacentral:rRNA from 1 species